UGUCUUGAAAACUUGGAUGAGUAUUUAGGAGAUUAUGGUGUGGACAUGUCAUGGGGGGAGCAGUGUUAUAUUGAUGGUUGGUACGUUUCUGCUUCUGCCAAGCAAGGGCAUUAUUUAUUCUGAAGAUGCUGUGUCUAAAUUUGGAAAAGAGAGAAAGCAAUAGCUGUAAUGUUUUUAUGGCACUAUGCGGAUAAUUAAAUCUAAUUGCACAUCUGGUAUGCUGACAGUCAAGUCCCUGUCUUGAAGUGCAUGUAUCUAAGAUUGAAGUUCCCCUGAAUGAUCCUUUGCUUUGAACUGAAAAGAAGGG
rnacentral:misc_RNA from 1 species